CCUACGGGGGGCAGCAGUGGGGAAUAUUGGACAAUGGGGGCAACCCGGAUCCAGCCAUGCCGCGUGUGUGAAGAAGGCCCUCGGGUUGUAAAGCACUUUCAGUGAGGAAGAACGCCUGGUGGUUAAUACCCAUCAGUAAAGACAUCACUCACAGAAGACGCACCGGCUAACUCCGUGCCAGCAGCCGCGGUAAUACGGAGGGUGCGAGCGUUAAUCGGAAUUACUGGGCGUAAAGCGCGCGUAGGUGGCUUGAUAAGCCGGUUGUGAAAGCCCCGGGCUCAACCUGGGAACGGCAUCCGGAACUGUCAAGCUAGAGUGCAGGAGAGGAAGGUAGAAUUCCCGGUGUAGCGGUGAAAUGCGUAGAGAUCGGGAGGAAUACCAGUGGCGAAGGCGGCCUUCUGGACUGACACUGACACUGAGGUGCGAAAGCGUGGGUAGCAAACAGGAUUAGAUACCCGUGUAGUC
rnacentral:rRNA from 1 species